UGAGAUGCAGUGGGCACAUCACUACGGCACAGCCAUACCGUAGGCUUUCAGAAUGUUCUGUUUUGUUGUGGAAUGACGUAGCAUGCCUAAUUUAAUCUUCCCAGCCAGAAGCCGAGACAACUUCCUCGUAUGGUAGUUUUAUUUUGAUCAGUCAGUGUGUCGAUUUCGGUCUGUGCUUUUAGAAUGUUGAGUCGACUCGGUGACCUUACAGGUGGAGACUGAGAAGCGCACAGAUGAACUGCCAUCGUUUACACGAUGAGCUACUACAGUGAUACGCCAAGUGUCGACGAUGAGUUGGAGUCGUUAGGAUGGUACCACUUUGACCUGUCCCGACAUGCCGCUGAAGCUCUCCUCCUAUCCAAUGGGAAAGAUGGCAGCUAUCUCCUCCGAAACAGUCAUGAGGGUCCUGGCAGCUUUGCCCUCUCUGUCAGAGCCAAGGAUUCAGUUAAACAUUUCCAUGUGACACGGAAAAGCAGUGGAUACGCUUUUGGCUUCAAUGAGUUUGCGUCCCUCCAGGACUUUGUCAGCCAUUUUGCCAACCAGCCUCUGCUGGGCAGUGAGACAGGUACCCUCAUUGUCCUUAAAUGCCCAUAUCCAUGGCAUGUAGAAGAACCGUCCAUCUAUGAGUCUGUGCGGGUUCACACCGCCAUGCAGACAGGACGAACAGAGAGCGACCUGGUGGCUAACGCUCCAUCGUUUGGAACAAAGGAGGGCUAUCUGGUAAAGUUAGGAGCAGUCGUAAAGAACUGGAAGCAGAGGUGGUUCACAUUAAACAGAAAUGAGCUCAAAUACUUUAAGAACAAAAUGUUUGAUGAGCCUAUUCGCACCCUGGAUCUGACAGCAUGCUCUGCAGUGCAGUUUGACUACUCCAAGGACAGAGUCAACUGCUUCUGAGGAAUAUAAAAUAUGGAUCAUGGUGGCCGAUGGCAGUGGCAGAUAAGAGGAAGUGCAACCAGAGUGAUGACAGGAGAAGUUCUAACCUCCACUCAUCUACUUUAUUUUGUUGCUGGAUCUCUUUCUGUAGCUGUUGAUAUUAAACCUAGCAUUAAUACUCAUUCGGUCUCUUAUUUAGUUUGGUGUUCCCUGAGAGGACAUUUUAUCUGUGUGCCAAGAGUGGUGUGGAGGCAGAUGAGUGGAUCAAGAUAAUACGAUGGAAACUGUCACACAUAAGAAAAGAAAGAUGACAACAUGAAGAGGAGGAGCCAAAAGAGGCAUAUUCUCACAGUGAACUAAAUUACCUUAAGUCUGGUAACUUGUCACUCAUGUUAUCCUCAGAGAUCCUUUCUGCUCCACAGAUGACUGGCUGGUAUCCCAAGACAAAAGACAAUGGGGCUCUUUGACCAUCGAAAAAUGACCAUGUCAUUUUCAGGACAUGCACAAUGUUUUGGAUCUAAUUGUAUUUUUUUUGCGAUAGACUUGAGUUCCUCCAAGAAUUGUAUUUUCUCUAGAUUGAUAUCUUUCACUGGUUGACAUUCACGUGAUCUUAAUUUUACUUAACAAGAUGUAACAGUCAUACUGUGAAUAAAUAUUUAUUUUAAUAGAGAAAUGAGCAACA